AUGCACGCUGGCGGCGUGCCUAAUACAUGCCAGUCGAGCGAACAGACGAGGAGCUUGCUCCUCUGACGUUAGCGGCGGACGGGUGAGUAACACGUGGAUAACCUACCUAUAAGACCGGGAUAACUUCGGGAAACCGGAGCUAAUACCGGAUAAUAUAUUGAACCGCAUGGUUCAAUAGUGAAAGACGGUUUUGCUGUCACUUAUAGAUGGAUCCGCGCCGCAUUAGCUAGUUGGUAAGGUAACGGCUUACCAAGGCAACGAUGCGUAGCCGACCUGAGAGGGUGAUCGGCCACACUGGAACUGAGACACGGUCCAGACUCCUACGGGAGGCAGCAGUAGGGAAUCUUCCGCAAUGGGCGAAAGCCUGACGGAGCAACGCCGCGUGAGUGAUGAAGGUCUUCGGAUCGUAAAACUCUGUUAUUAGGGAAGAACAAAUGUGUAAGUAACUAUGCACGUCUUGACGGUACCUAAUCAGAAAGCCACGGCUAACUACGUG
rnacentral:rRNA from 1 species